AUUGAACGCUGGCGGCAGGCCUAACACAUGCAAGUCGAACGAGUGGCGGACGGGUGAGUAAUGUAUGCGAAACUGCCCGAUGGAGGGGGAUAACUACUGGAAACGGUAUCUAAUACCGCCUACGAUCUGCUGUGCCCAGAUGUGAUUAGCUAGUAGGGGGGGUAACGGCUCACCUAGGCGACGAGCCCUAGCUGGACUGCGAGGAUGACCAGCCACACUGGAACGGGGACACGAUCCAGACUCCUACGGUAGGCAGCAGUGGGGAAUAUUGCACAAUGGUCGCAAGCAUGAUGCAGCCAUGCCGCGUGUAUUGAGAAGGCCGUCGGGUUGUAAAGUACUUUCAGCGGGGAGGCGUUACUCGCAGAAGAAGCACCGGCUAACUCCGUGCCAGCAGCCGCGGUAAUUC
rnacentral:rRNA from 1 species